rnacentral:rRNA from 1 species
GAUGAACGCUGGCGGCGUGCCUAAUACAUGCAAGUCGAACGCUUCACUUCGGUGAAGAGUGGCGAACGGGUGAGUAAUACAUAAGUAACCUGGCAUCUACAGGGGGAUAACUGAUGGAAACGUCAGCUAAGACCGCAUAGGUGUAGAGAUCGCAUGAACUCUAUAUGAAAAGUGCUACGGGACUGGUAGAUGAUGGACUUAUGGCGCAUUAGCUGGUUGGUAGGGUAACGGCCUACCAAGGCGACGAUGCGUAGCCGACCUGAGAGGGUGACCGGCCACGCUGGGACUGAGACACGGCCCAGACUCCUACGGGAGGCAGCAGUAGGGAAUUUUCGGCAAUGGGGGAAACCCUGACCGAGCAACGCGGCGUGAAGGAAGAAGUAAUUCGUUAUGUAAACUUCUGUCAUAGAGGAAGAACGGUGGAUAUAGGGAAUGAUAUCCAAGUGACGGUACCCCUUUAGCAAGCACCGGCUAACUUCGUGCCAGCAGCCGCCGUAA